rnacentral:sRNA from 1 species
CCCGACCGCGAGCGUGCCAAGCGGCUUCAGCAGCUAGCGGAGCGGUGGCGGCGGCCCCCCUCAGGACACCACCAGAUUCCCCUUUUCCCGCGGCCUCGCCAUGGCGACCCACGGACAGACUUGCGCGCGUCCAAUGUGUAUUCCUCCAUCAUAUGCUGACCUUGGCAAAGCUGCCAGAGAUAUUUUCAACAAAGGAUUUGGUUUUGGGUUGGUGAAACUGGAUGUGAAAACAAAGUCUUGCAGUGGCGUGAUAUCACAAUUUCUGGCUGUAGUCUCUUUAUUAUUUUCACAUCAGCUGUCUUCCUUAGGCUUGGCGUGGUGAUGCUUGUGAUCCCAGCUACUCAGGAGGCUGAGGAAUUUUCAACGUCCGGUUCAUCUAAUACAGACACUGGUAAAGUUACUGGGACCUUGGAGACCAAAUACAAGUGGUGUGAGUAUGGUCUGACUUUCACAGAAAAGUGGAACACUGAUAACACUCUGGGAACAGAAAUCGCAAUUGAAGACCAGAUUUGUCAAGGUUUGAAACUGACAUUUGAUACUACCUUCUCACCAAACACAGGAAAGAAAAGUGGUAAAAUCAAGUCUUCUUACAAGAGGGAGUGUAUAAACCUUGGUUGUGAUGUUGACUUUGAUUUUGCUGGACCUGCAAUCCAUGGUUCAGCUGUCUUUGGUUAUGAGGGCUGGCUUGCUGGCUACCAGAUGACCUUUGACAGUGCCAAAUCAAAGCUGACAAGGAAUAACUUUGCAGUGGGCUACAGGACUGGGGACUUCCAGCUACACACUAAUGUGUAAGUAUUUCUUUCAUAGGAUACUGUGAUGUAGGCCCUCAGAGGAUGAUUUUGAUGUCUGU